ensembl:lincRNA Gm3764 predicted gene 3764
AAGCUUGGUACAGGAACUUCGAAGGUUUCUCAAGCUGCAGGUCAUGGCUACCUGUGUUUCUUAGCACUGGCCUUGACUUGGCUACCACAGGCUUUUGUCUCAGUUUAUCUGCCCUGGCUGAAACCCAAAUGAUCCUGUCUCCAGCUCCAUAAGAGCAAUCAGAGGUCCCCCAAAAUCUCUGUCUGCUCCCUAGAGUCAUGGGCUGCUUCUUGUUCUGUGCUCCACACAGGCUUCCCUCCCUCCCAGUGCUGAUUUCCUGUGGACCAGAUUCCAGCACAGUGGAGGGCCAGAGCUCAGGGAACAGACCCAGCAGCACAGCAAGUCUCCAAGGAAAGCUCUAGCAGUCUCCAGGGGCUGAAGGCAGGACUGGGGAAGCGGCUAGCCAGGCUGCAGAAGGCAAAUGCUCCCAGACGGCUGUCCAGCACGCAUCCGCCUUCCUAGCCAAGUUUCCUGGGCUCCUGCCACAGAUCUAAGCCUCAUCCUGACAUCCUGCCCUCUGUGCUCUGGGAUGGCCCAGGGGAGAUGCUUAGCCUUGGCUCCUUGUCUGCUGGUGGAGGGGACACACACCCUUUCUGGACCACAGACCAAAAAGAAGACCUGACGUCAUCCUGAGCACCCCCGCCAUGCAGAGUGUGUUCGCAGACUGCCAACGGGCUGGCUCCGGCCAGCAGAAGUGAACAGAGGUGGAGGUUCAGCCUGACAGCUUCUCCCCAAAGCCAUGGAGAGAAAACCUUACCACCCCCACCGCCCAGCUACUUCCAGCAAGUUGUCCAGCCUGACCCCUCUAUUUCCCCUGUUGUCUCUUAUCUGGGUCCCUGAGACCCACCCCAUCUCCAAUAAAGAACAUUGCAUACUGUG